rnacentral:rRNA from 1 species
AACGAACGCUGGCGGCGCGCCUAAUACAUGCAAGUCGAGCGAGAAGACGUAGCAAUACGUUUGUAAAGCGGCGAACGGGUGAGGAAUACAUGGGUAACCUACCCUCGAGUGGGGAAUAACUAGCCGAAAGGUUAGCUAAUACCGCGUACGCUCCUUGGACUUCGGUUCAGGGAGGAAAGCGAUACCGUGGGUAUCGCGCUCUUGGAUGGGCUCAUGUCCUAUCAGCUUGUUGGUGAGGUAACGGCUCACCAAGGCUUCGACGGGUAGCUGGUCUGAGAGGACGAUCAGCCACACUGGCACUGCGACACGGGCCAGACUCCUACGGGAGGCAGCAGUAAGGAAUAUUGCGCAAUGGGCGAAAGCCUGACGCAGCGACGCCGCGUGGGGGAUGAAGGUCUUCGGAUUGUAAACCCCUUUCGGGAGGGAAGAUGGAACGAGCAAUCGUUCGGACGGUACCUCCAGAA